rnacentral:rRNA from 1 species
CCUACGGGUGGCAGCAGUGAGGAAUAUUGGUCAAUGGGCGCGAGCCUGAACCAGCCAAGUCGCGUGAGGGAUGAAGGUUCUAUGGAUCGUAAACCUCUUUUAUAAGGGAAUAAAGUGUGGGACGUGUCCGAUUUUGUAUGUACCUUAUGAAUAAGGAUCGGCUAACUCCGUGCCAGCAGCCGCGGUAAUACGGAGGAUCCGAGCGUUAUCCGGAUUUAUUGGGUUUAAAGGGUGCGUAGGCGGCCUUUUAAGUCAGCGGUGAAAGUCUGUGGCUCAACCCUGGAAUUGCCGUUGAAACUGGGGGGCUUGAGUAUGUUUGCGCCAGGCGGCUUGCGUGGUGUAGCGGUGAAAUGCUUAGAUAUCACGCAGAACCCCGAUUGCGAAGGCAGCCUGCCAAGCCAUGCCUGACGCUGAUGCACGAACGCGUGGGGAUCAAACAGGAUUAGAUACCCCAGUAGUC